GCCCGGUUAGUUCAGUUGGAUAGAACGCCACAUCAAUUGAAUUUCACAACCUGAAAUAAUCGUGGAAACGCGGGUUCAAUUCCUGCACUGGGCU